rnacentral:misc_RNA from 1 species
AAGUCGUAACAAGGUUUCCGUAGGUGAACCUGCGGAAGGAUCAUUAAUGAUACUUUGUUAUACCAAUACCAAACCAAAUGUGAACUGUAUGCUCCUACUGUGCUUAUUGGUAGAUCUCACGAUCUAUCAAUAUUGUAUGGUAGAGAAUACCCUUCUAGUAGUCAUCCCAAGCUUCGGUUUGGCUGAUGGCGAAGUAUUAACAAACUUUACUCUAUAACUGUUAACUGACUGAUCUUCAUAAACUUGCGAAUGGCGAAAGCUGUUUGUAGGCUUUACGAAAUUUACCGAACAACUCCUAGCAAUGGAUAUCUCGGGUCAUGUAACGAUGAAGAACGUAGC